rnacentral:lncRNA from 1 species
UCUCCUUGGGAACACUGGUUUGUUCAAUUAGCUGGAAUCAGCACUGGACAAUAAGCAAUCAUUGUGGACUUAUUACUAAUUUGGAGAGCAAAACAUAAAAGCACAUAAAUAAACAAGGAAAACAGUAAUCUCUGGGAAAGAAAAGUCUAAUAUCUCUGUGGCAUUUCAACAAACAAGUCAUGGGCAAGUCGAUUAAAGAAACCGGCAAUGUAUUCAAGAUAGAUGCAAUUUUGUCAUAAAAAAUGUACCGCGGAGCAUCACUACCCAGUCUUCCUGGUCUGCAGUGAUCUGUCUGGAAUAAAUUAAUUACACUUAGUCAGGAGCCUUAGUCUGAACUUACACGGAGCCUUAGUCUGAACUUAUACGGAGACGAUUUGUUGCAUGCAGAGGCAAAGUUUGGUUCCUAGAGGCACAUGCCGGGGCCCAAUUUUGCUGCAGAGCAACCAAUCGAUCUAGUCUAAUAAAAAAAACCUAUGAGCAAAUAAGCAUCCAGGAAAAAGACAACUGAAGUAUGCAAUAAGACACACCUAGGGCAGAUGCCCCAAUCCCUUUGUCGAGAAGGCAAACUGGUACAUGGAGAAUGGUGAUGCAGGGUCUCCGAUAGGCAAACAAGUGUUACUGUGUAACAAAAUUACUGGUUGUAUCAAGAUAAUCAAAUCAGAACAAUGGUUGUUAUGUUUAUUUGUCAGCCUUGGUUGGCUUGUAGACUUAUUAUGAGCCCCAACUUGUCUAAUGGUUGUAGUCUCUUGGAGCAUUAGCACGAGCUGUCCAGUUUUUUAUUUUUCUGUGGCCUUCUAUAUGGUCUAAUUCUACUAUGAUUACUUUAGUAAUUUAAAGCUUUAUGGGACUCACUCAAAUCUCUAGAAAGAUGAGAGAACCUAUAAACAUUUGAAUUUUUAGAUACAUCAAGAAAGAAGUUAACCUCACCACCAAAUCCAAGACUGUAUCCACAACGCACCCCCAUUAGUGGAAACAAGAUUAAAGAACACAGAACUCUCUUGGUCGAGGUUGCCUAUUGUACUCCCUCCGUUCCAAAUUGUAAGUCAUUUCAAGAAUCUUGGAGAGUCAAAGUAUCCCAAGUUUGAUCAAAAUUAUAGAGAAAAAUAUAAAGAUUUAUGACAUCAAAUAGAUAUGCUAUAAAAAUAUAAUUGAUAAAGAAUCUAAUGAUACUUAGUUGACAUCAUAAAUGUUAUUAUAUUAUCAUAUAAAUUUGGUCAAAGUUGAGAUACUUUGACUCUCCAAGAUUCUUGAAAUGACUUAUAAUUUGGAACGGAGGGAGUAUUAAAUUAUUAAUUAAGAAGGAGAACCCACAUGGACAAAAUUGCAUGAUGAAAAAUGCAAUCACACAAAAAGGUAGAAUUCGAUAUUGACGGACGACCUGAAAUUCUCCUGUUUUCAUUACCACAAACCAAACAUAGCAAGGGGCUUAGGGAGAAUAGAAACCUACGGACCUGCAUGGAUGUCGUCGGACUCGUCGUGGUUGCAGAGAAGGGACGGGGAGGGUCCGACAGCAGCGAUUUGCGAUGGCCGUCGGUGAGGACGUACUGGAAGGGCGGCGAGAUGAGCAGAAAGACAUGGGACGGCGAGGAGUCGAGGACGAGCGGCGGCAGCGAGAGGCGCAGCAAUUUCCAGCCGCGAGAUGCAGACGAAGGGCGCCGAGAUAAGCAGAGAGAAAAGGAUCGGGGAGGACGCGAUGCCGGCGGCAGCGAGAGGUGCAGCAAUUGCUGGCGGUGAGAUUCGCAAAAAGGGCGUCGGCCUGUAGGCUGUAACCGUAACC